rnacentral:pre_miRNA from 1 species
GAACUACUCUCCAUCCCAUAUUAAGUGUCGCAACUUUACAUGUAUCUAGACGCGUUUUAGUGUAUAGAUGCAUGCGUAUUUAGACAAAGUUGAGACACUUAAUAUGGGAUGGAGGGAGUAUUUU